GUUAUUAACAAUGACAACCAAUAAAAAGUCCAGAGAGAGAUUAGCAUGGCCCCUGCGCAAGGAUGACACGCAUAAAUCGAGAAAUGGACCAAAUUUUU